CACGUAGGUGGCGAGCGUUAUCCGGAUUUACUGGGUGUAAAGGGCGCGUAGGCGGGGAUGCAAGUCAGAUGUGAAAUCUAUGGGCUUAACUCAUAAACUGCAUUUGAAACUGUAUUUCUAGAGUGCUGGAGAGGUAGAUGGAAUUCCUUGUGUAGCGGUGUAAUGCGUAGAUAUAAGGAAGAACACCAGUGGCGAAGGCGAUCUACUGGACAGUAACUGACGCUGAGGCGCGAAAGCGUGGGGAGCAAAC
rnacentral:rRNA from 1 species